UGAUAAAUGAGUUUAUAUUUGUUACGCACAAAGGUGAAAAAUGGCUGAAAUGUUCAAGAUUUUUUAUAUUAUGAUCAUUUUUGUUUCCCUAUUUCUUGUUGUAACCUUUUCCAAGGAAGAGUGUACUUAUGCUGCCGAUUGUUAUAAAAGAUAUCCUCGUUGGAGUCUUCUACCCAAUUAUUGCAUUGAAGGAUCUUGUUAUUCUGAUUUUUUGAAUUCAGGGCCUAAAGGACAUGCCUGAAAAAAAGAAUCAAGGUGUUUGUUCA